ACUUUAAAUCUUCGGAGUUGURGUCUGCRUAAGCUAAGUCAGCAUUAAUGGUCAGUAAAGUGUCCUGGAACGGACUGCCAAGGAGGGUGAUAGCCCCGUUCAUACUGAUCAUGAUUGUGUACGACUGGUUUUCAAAGAGUCGAGUUGSUUGGGACUGCAGCUCUAAGCGGGUGGUAAAUUCCAUCUAAAGCUAAAUAUUGGUGGGAGACCGAUAGCAAACAAGUACCGUGAGGGAAAGAUGAAAAGAACUUUGAAAAGAGAGUGAAAGAGUACCUGAAAUUGCUGAAAUGGAACCGAUGGGAGGCAGUGUUGGUGUGCGACCUUUUGUGUGGCCUGCUUGCAGGCUAUGCCUUGUGGCCGUGCACAAGUUAGGCUUGCUUAGUUGCAUGUAAGAGAACCCAAACCUGUAUGGGCUGGGAGUUUCGACAUGCGACCGAGCGACUCUAACGAAAUGCCUCUUAUCAUCCCGUCUUGAAACACGGACCAAGGAGUCUAACAUGUUUGCAAGUGCUCGGAGUUCAUCUCCAAGCGCGGAAUUAACGUGAAUGUGACCUAGUCACAUAGGUAGGAUGCUUUGGCUGCACUAUCGACCGACCAUGAUCCCACGGGAGAAAGGUUUGAGUGUGAGCAUACAUGUUGGGACCCGAAAGAUGGUGAACUAUGCUUGAGUAGGACGAAGCCAGGGGAAACUCUGGUGGAGGUCCGCAGCGAUUCU
rnacentral:rRNA from 1 species